rnacentral:rRNA from 1 species
UACGUAGGGGGCUAGCGUUGUCCGGAUUUAUUGGGCGUAAAGAGCGUGUAGGCGGCCAGGUAGGUCUGCUGUGAAAACUCGAGGCUCAACCUCGAGACGUCGGCGGAAACCAUCUGGCUAGAGUCCGGAAGAGGAGAGUGGAAUUCCUGGUGUAGCGGUGAAUGCGCAGAUAUCAGGAAGAACACCCGUGGCGAAGGCGGCUCUCUGGGACGGUACUGACGCUGAGACGCGAAGACGUGGGAGGCGAACAGGAUAGAUACCCAGUAGCUC